AUGUCAAACAGAGCCACACAUUGGUGUUAUGCGUGCCGUCGGCCAAUUCGUCUUCGUGGACAAGAUAUAAUCUGUCCCAAUUGCAAUGAUGGCUUCGUACAAGAGACCAGUGAGAUAGGAGGCGCUUUGAACAACUAUGGUAUGUUUGGGCCACGCUUCGAUGAUCGCCUAGAUGGACAAUUUGGAAUGAUGGAUGCUAUGUCAGCCCUCAUGCGUCGAAGGAUGGUAGAAAUGGGCAGCAAUCCUGUGUUUGAUCCUAAUGCAGCUUGGCAAGUACCACACAAGGAAGGCCGUCACCGAUUGGCCCUAGGCUGA
rnacentral:rRNA from 1 species